rnacentral:lncRNA from 1 species
AAAUAUUUACUGGAACGACGUUGCCUAGAUUCAACAUUGCAAUCUACUAACAACAAAGCAACUCUACAUUUUCUAGCUACUAUAGGAUACGAUUCUAGAAUAGGUUGAGCAACCACUUCGUUACCAACCUCUUGUACUAUAGGAUGCAAUUCUUCUUCCAUAGGUUGAGCAACCACUUCAUUACCAACCUCCUGUACCUAA